rnacentral:lncRNA from 1 species
UAUGUAUCCUGGCAGUUUUCAACGGGAACCAACUCUGCAGGUGGAAGUUAUUCACUCAGAGGGUGGUGACGCACUGAACAGGUUGUCCAAGGAUUGCUGGAUGCCCCAUCCCUGGAGGCAUUCCAGGCCAGGCUGGAUGUGGCUCUGGGCAGCCUGGUGUGAUGGUUGGCGACCCUGCACAUAGCAGGGGGUUGGAACUGGAUGAUCACUGUGGCCCCUUUCAACCCAG